rnacentral:lncRNA from 1 species
AUGGCUUCGUACCUGGCUGCUCAGAGUGAGGUCUGCAGACCAGCAGCGUCACCACCACCAGGUAGCCUGUCGAAAUGCGGAAGUUUGGGCCCCACCUGGACCUAAUAAGUGAGAUUUUGCAUUUUAGCGAGCCCCCAGGUGAGUCCCCUGCACGUCACAGCUUGAGAAGCGGUCAUCUGUAGAAUUUGUUGAUUCCAGAGGAAACGUAGAACGGUAGAUGAAUGUCUUACUUGAAUCAUGUUGAUCAUAAUCUUAAAGGGGUACCAGACAAACAAGGGUUAAUAGGAUCUUCAGAGGAUCGAGAUACAAAGAUCUACGUGCACAGUGAGGAGGAACAACGCGGAAACUCCAAGCUGAAGAGAAACAACUGUGUUACUACGUUUCCCUGAGGAUGAUUGCGGCCACCUAUUAGACACCAGCACCUUUCCAGGCUCUGGGUUCCACGAGAAAUGAAACCUGCGAAUACGUCUCCCCACACAGCAAAAGGGACCUGGGGAGUGUGAUUAAGUCAAGGAUCUCGAGAUGGGAGAUGAUGCUGGAUUAUCCGGAAGGGACAAUGUCAUCCCAGGGGUCCUUAUCAGAGAGAGAUGGGAGAUUCAGAGACAGAGAGAGAUUUGAAGAUGCCACACUGCUGGAUUGGACAACACAAGGCGGCCGUGUGUCAAGGAAUGGCAGCAGCUUCCAGAAGCUAGAAAACCAAGGAACAGAGCCCCCAGCAGACCUUCCAGAGGGUGCCCUGCUGGCACCUUGCUUUUAGGACUCUGACCUCCAGAACUGUAAGAGAAUAAAUGUGUGCCAUCUAAAGCCAAAGCUUGUAGCAAUUUGUUACAGUGGCAACAGGAAACACACAUAGGAAGAGACAGACGAUAAACAGAUAAUUGAAGAAGAUACAUAUUAUGUCAGGGGAAAUAAGUGCCACGGAGGAAAAGGGUGCAGAGAAGGGGAGAGAGAGUGAGGGACGGG